rnacentral:tRNA from 1 species
GCCUGCAUAGCUCAGUGAUAGAGCAACGCACUUGUAAUGCGUAGGUCGGGGGUUUAAAUCCCUCUGCAGGCU